ACUCAAAGGAAUUGACGGGGGCUCACACAAGCGGUGGAGCAUGUUGCUUAAUUCGAAGCGACGCGAAGAACCUUAUCCUGGACUUGACAUGCACGGAUUAGUUCUGUGAAAGCAGAAUGACACCCUCGGGUGGAACGUGCACAGGUGCUGCAUGGCUGUCGUCAGCUCGUGCUGUGAAGUGUCGGGUUAAGUCCCUCAACGAGCGCAACCCCUGUCGCUAGUUGCCAGCGAGUCAUGUCGGGGACUCUAGCGAGACUGCCGGUGUCAAACCGGAGGAAGGUGGGGAUGACGUCAAGUCCUCAUGGCCUUUAUGUCCAGGGCUGCAAACGUGCUACAAUGGCGUAUACAAAGCGAUGCGAGGCCGCGAGGCGGAGCAAAUCGCAAAAAGUACGCCCCAGUUCAGAUUGCAGUCUGCAACUCGACUGCAUGAAGUCGGAAUCGCUAGUAAUCGGAGAUCAGCUACGCUCCGGUGAAUACGUUCCUGAGCCUUGUACACACCGCCCGU
rnacentral:rRNA from 1 species